rnacentral:sRNA from 1 species
UGCGCCUGCGGCGGAUCAGGCACGGGCUGUAUCGCACUUCGCAGGCAGUCUGCCCGUGUACGGUCUGGUACUUCCCGGGAUUUCCCGGGAUUUAACGGUUUC